GUGAGUGGCGGACGGGUGAGUAACACGUGGGUAACCUGCCCUAAAGUGGGGGAUAACAUUUGGAAACAGAUGCUAAUACCGCAUAAAACCUAACACCGCAUGGUGUAGGGUUGAAAGAUGGUUUCGGCUAUCACUUUAGGAUGGACCCGCGGUGCAUUAGUUAGUUGGUGAGGUAAAGGCUCACCAAGACCGUGAUGCAUAGCCGACCUGAGAGGGUAAUCGGCCACACUGGGACUGAGACACGGCCCAGACUCCUACGGGAGGCAGCAGUAGGGAAUCUUCCACAAUGGACGAAAGUCUGAUGGAGCAACGCCGCGUGAGUGAAGAAGGUUUUCGGAUCGUAAAACUCUGUUGUUGGAGAAGAAUGUAUCUGAUAGUAACUGAUCAGGUAGUGACGGUAUCCAACCAGAAAGCCACGGCUAACUACGUGCCAGCAGCCGCGGUAAUACGUAGGUGGCAAGCGUUGUCCGGAUUUAUUGGGCGUAAAGCGAGCGCAGGCGGUUUCUUAAGUCUGAUGUGAAAGCCUUCGGCUCAACCGAAGAAGUGCAUCGGAAACUGGGAAACUUGAGUGCAGAAGAGGACAGUGGAACUCCAUGUGUAGCGGUGAAAUGCGUAGAUAUAUGGAAGAACACCAGUGGCGAAGGCGGCUGUCUGGUCUGUAACUGACGCUGAGGCUCGAAAGCAUGGGUAGCAAACAGGAUUAGAUACCCUGGUAGUCCAUGCCGUAAACGAUGAGUGCUAGGUGUUGGAGGGUUUCCGCCCUUCAGUGCCGCAGCUAACGCAUUAAG
rnacentral:rRNA from 2 species